rnacentral:rRNA from 2 species
GUCGUGACUGCGUGCCUUUUGAAGAAUGAGCCUGCGAGUUUGCGGUAUGUUGCGAGGUUAACCCGUGUGGGGAAGCCGUAGCGAAAGCGAGUCCGAAGAGGGCGAUAUAGUAGCGUGCCCAAGACCCGAAGCGGAGUGAUCUAGCCAUGGGCAGGUUGAAGCGGAGGUAAGACUUCGUGGAGGACCGAACCCACCAGGGUUGAAAACCUGGGGGAUGACCUGUGGUUAGGGGUGAAAGGCCAAUCAAACUCCGUGAUAGCUGGUUCUCCCCGAAAUGCAUUUAGGUGCAGCGUCGUGUGUUUCUUGCCGGAGGUAGAGCACUGGAUAGGCGAUGGGCCCUACCGGGUUACUGACCUUAGCCAAACUCCGAAUGCCGGUAAGUGAGAGCGCGGCAGUGAGACUGUGGGGGAUAAGCUCCAUGGUCGAGAGGGAAACAGCCCAGAGCAUCGACUAAGGCCCCUAAGCGUGUGCUAAGUGGGAAAGGAUGUGGAGUCGCAGAGACAACCAGGAGGUUGGCUUAGAAGCAGCCAUCCUUGAAAGAGUGCGUAAUAGCUCACUGGUCAAGUGAUUCCGCGCCGACAAUGUAGCGGGGCUCAAGCACACCGCCGAAGUCAUGUCAUUGCAGUAUGUACUCCUAACGGGGACUGUGAUGGGUAGGGGAGCGUCGUGUGCCGGGUGAAGCAGCGCCGGAAGGUAGUUGUGGACGGUUCACGAGUGAGAAUGCAGGCAUGAGUAGCGAUACACACGUGGGAAACGUGUGCGCCGAUUGACUAAGGGUUCCUGGGUCAAGCUGAUCUGCCCAGGGUAAGUCGGGACCUAAGGCGAGGCCGACAGGCGUAGUCGAUGGACAACCGGUUGAUAUUCCGGUACCCGCUUUGAAGCGCCAAACAUCGAAUCCUCUGAUGCUAAGGCCGUGAAGCCGCCCUGGAGUCUUCGGACAAAGGGGAGUGGUGGAGCCGCUGAUCCAAGGUGGUAGUAGGUGAGUGAUGGGGUGACGCAGGAAGGUAGUCCAGCCCGGGCGGUGGUUGUCCCGGGGUAAGGGUGUAGGACGCACGGUAGGCAAAUCCGUCGUGCAUGAAGUCUGAGACCUGAUGCCGAGCCGAUUGUGGUGAAGUGGAUGAUCCUAUGCUGUCGAGAAAAGCCUCUAGCGAGUUUCAUGGCGGCCCGUACCCUAAACCGACUCAGGUGGUCAGGUAGAGAAUACCGAGGCGUUCGGGUGAACUAUGGUUAAGGAACUCGGCAAAAUGCCCCCGUAACUUCGGGAGAAGGGGGGCCACGGCUGGUGAUCACCCUUGCGGUGUGAGCUGGUGGUGGCCGCAGAGACCAGCGAGAAGCGACUGUUUACUAAAAACACAGGUCCGUGCGAAGCCGUAAGGCGAUGUAUACGGACUGACGCCUGCCCGGUGCUGGAACGUUAAGGGGACCGGUUAGCUCCAUUUCGGUGGGGCGAAGCUGAGAACUUAAGCGCCAGUAAACGGCGGUGGUAACUAUAACCAUCCUAAGGUAGCGAAAUUCCUUGUCGGGUAAGUUCCGACCUGCACGAAUGGCGUAACGACUUCUCGACUGUCUCAACCAUAGGCCCGGUGAAAUUGCACUACGAGUAAAGAUGCUCGUUUCGCGCAGCAGGACGGAAAGACCCCGGGACCUUUACUAUAGCUUGAUAUUGGUGUUUGGUUCGGCUUGUGUAGGAUAGGUGGGAGACUGUGAAGCCGUGACGCCAGUCAUGGUGGAGUCGUUGUUGAAAUACCACUCUGGUCGUGCUGGAUGUCUAACCUGGGUCCGUGAUCCGGAUCAGGGACAGUGUCUGGUGGGUAGUUUAACUGGGGCGGUUGCCUCCUAAAGGGUAACGGAGGCGCCCAAAGGUUCCCUCAGCCUGGUUGGCAAUCAGGUGUUGAGUGUAAGUGCACAAGGGAGCUUGACUGUGAGACUGACGGGUCGAGCAGGUACGAAAGUAGGGACUAGUGAUCCGGCGGUGGCUUGUGGAAGCGCCGUCGCUCAACGGAUAAAAGGUACCCCGGGGAUAACAGGCUGAUCUUCCCCAAGAGUCCAUAUCGACGGGAUGGUUUGGCACCUCGAUGUCGGCUCGUCGCAUCCUGGGGCUGGAGUCGGUCCCAAGGGUUGGGCUGUUCGCCCAUUAAAGCGGUACGCGAGCUGGGUUUAGAACGUCGUGAGACAGUUCGGUCCCUAUCCGCUGUGCGCGUAGGAGUCUUGAGAAGGGCUGUCCCUAGUACGAGAGGACCGGGACGGACGAACCUCUGGUGUGCCAGUUGUUCUGCCAAGGGCAUGGCUGGUUGGCUACGUUCGGAAAGGAUAACCGCUGAAAGCAUCUAAGCGGGAAGCCUGCUUCGAGAUGAGGGCUCCCUCCCACUUGAUGGGGUAAGGCUCCCAGUAGACGACUGGGUUGAUAGGCCAGAUAUGGAAG